CUCAAAUGGAACCAGGCAUCCUGUCUUUUAUCUGGCAAGAUACUCUGGGGACUCUCCAGGAGAACUUGACUUUGUUGGGAGAGGAGAGCAGUUGAUAAACGUUGGUUGACGAUUGUGUUCAAUCUCAGGGAAAGAGGAGAGAGGCUGGCUCAGAAAGACUUUCCUCUGGUCUCUCUCAAGCUUAAAGUUUUGAGGAAGAAGAGUCCAAACUCCAGAGGAGUUAAGUCUUGAUCUCUCUAAAAAGAAAUGCAAAUUGCAACCUGAGUGAAGAUAAAUAGACUUGGGUGAUGAGCAUUUGCCCGAGUUGGGGGGAAGGAGGAAGGAGGCUGCUGGCUCUCCUUGCCCUGCUGUGAUGACUGUAUCCGGUGGUGCAGCUGGGGUCUACACAAGGUUGGAAUUCCUUUUCUGCUAUUAACCAGUGAUAAACUCCUACUCAUCCAUCAAGACCAAGCUGAAUAUAUGAUCUGUAUAUGCAAACGUUCCAUAGGGUCUUGGAAUGAAGGAAUAUU